rnacentral:rRNA from 1 species
AUACGUAGGUGGCAAGCGUUGUCCGGAAUUAUUGGGCGUAAAGCGCGCGCAGGUGGUUCCUUAAGUCUGAUGUGAAAGCCCCCGGCUCAACCGGGGAGGGUCAUUGGAAACUGGGGAACUUGAGUGCAGAAGAGGAUAGUGGAAUUCCAAGUGUAGCGGUGAAAUGCGUAGAGAUUUGGAGGAACACCAGUGGCGAAGGCGACUGUCUGGUCUGUAACUGACACUGAGGCUCGAAAGCGUGGGGAGCAAACAGGAUUAGAUACCCUGGUAGUCCACGCCGUAAACGAUGAGUGCUAAGUGUUGGGGGGUUUCCGCCCCUCAGUGCUGCAGCUAACGCAUUAAGCACUCCGCCUGGGGAGUACGGUCGCAAGACUGAAACUCAAAGGAAUUGACGGGG